CCCCCAUGCGGUUGCUGAUGCAUGUCUUUUCAGCCAUCCAAUCAACUGGGGUGCAAUUUGCACUUGCCUCCAUUUAUCACAUUCACCGUUCCUCCCUUUUCAUUUUUCUCAAACCCAAACUUCCUUUCUCUGGUUUUCCCUCCUCUACUCCUUUUAUAGAAACUUAUAAAGAAAUUCUUGCAAAACUGUGCAAUGAAAAAAGCUCUUAGGAGGCCUGCUUCUCAAGGCUUUGUGUGCUUGUAUGAUUUUGUUUUAGGUUUUUCUAUGACCCAAUUUGGGAAGUAUUUGAGAAAUAUGGUCUUAGGGUUUCUUUCAUGUUUGGCUGAUGGGAUCGGGUUGAAUUUUGGGGUUUUCCAUGACCCAGUUAGGUAAGUAUCAGAAAAACACUUUGCUGGAGGGUUAUUAUGUUUCUUGAAGGUGGAUUGGGGAUUCCUUCUAUUCUUUUCCAUGACCCAAUUAAGUAAGAAUUAGAAGAAUAGGGUGCUAGGGUUUCUAUCAUGGUUUUGAUGGUGGAUUAGGGUUUUGUGUCAUGGUUUUAGACUUUUAGCCAUGACCCAAUUUGGCAAAAGCAAAAAAUGAUGGUGCAAUACAACAGGUAGGUAGCAUGCAUCAAUGUUCUCCUUUUCCCAAAAUAGAAACCCUAGAAUCUUGGUGCAAUUACUUCUUCAUGGUGGUUAUAGGAUACAUAUCCCACACCAAGCAAGGCAAGGCCACAUGGUGGUUCAAAAAAGAGAAAGGUUGGUUUAGGGUUUCUUCCUCCUCUCAAGACAUGGAAACUCAAAUGGUGGUUUAAGGAAACAAGGAGGAAGGUUUAGGGCUUUUUAUUGGCAAAUAUGGAAGGUUUAUCUCAACUGAUGGCUUCAUGCUUCUCCACGGCUUUCUUGAACUUAGUUUGAAUAAGGUGAGCCUUCUUACAAGAUCAAGAAAGCUGCGGAAAAACAUAGAUCCACUCAAAAUUAUGAACUUUCAACAGAGAGAUAGAUCUCCAAGGUGUCAAUGAGCCGAGUCGAGUGGUGCCGAGCUGAGCUUACAGGUCCAAGGUUUGCGUGGGUCAUGGACCAGCUUGGGCUAGACUUGGCUCGACUCGUUCACUUAAAUCAAGCUCACAAUGAGCCGUGACUAGGCAGAAACAAGUCUAGUACAAGCUUACAAACAAGGCAAGAUACAAUCUGAUUGCCAUAUUACGGAACAAUACAAUUUAUUGAAUGGAGUUUCCUAUUUUUAUGUAACAUAUAUUGUACUUUUUUCUGUAUCAUAAAUAAAACAAAUAUUGUAAACACACAUUGGGCCGAGCUCAAGUCGAUGUUAUUUCAGUUUGAGCUUGGCUUGUUUAAUAAUACCCUAGAAUGUGCAGCUUGGCUUGGCUUGCCAUAUUAGUCUUCCUCAAGCUUGGCUCCUCAUGAGCCGACCCGACCCAACUUAGUUUGUUGAUCCUCCUGGUUACUUUUUUUUCCCUCUUUUUUUAACCACCAUCAAUGCAAUAGAAGACUGAAAUAGGAAACCAAAAUAUUAGUUGUCU